rnacentral:tmRNA from 2 species
GCGCUUUCAUUUGAUCGAAGGCCAUCCUAUAUUGAGGGUGCCGGAUUCGUCCGGCUAUGGCGAUAAAUGGACAUCGGAAUAAGCCUUUCGGACCCGGGGGCGGUACCCGGCGCCUCCACCAUCAGCCCACGAAGGUUCAGGCCACGGCCGUGGCACCCGCCAGGGGAACCGAAGUGCCCGUGGUCUGUUGAUGGGGGCGAAAUAGGAUCGACGAGGGUGUAAAGGGUGCUCUUUUGCCCGGCAUGAUACCGCCGUUAUCGGGUCACCAGAAUAGUUGCCAACGACAACUAUGCUGAGGCUGCUCUCGCUGCGUAAUGCGGCUGGAAUAGUCUGAACUUGAAGCCCUGUCGUCUAGCAACGGCAGGCGCGGUUCGGAGGGCACCGGGCAACAGAAGCCCUCCACU